CUCCUUAUGACCAGAUGAAUUUGUCUAUUAGUGGAUUUUAAAAGCUACUUUUCUUUCGAACUGCAUUUCAAACAUUUUUAUUUAUGUACAGGAAACCACAAAACAAUCAAGAGAAUAACGUUUAUUUACAUUGUGACUAGUAGAGACAUUAUCUGCCCCACUAGAUCUUGCCAAGAGAUAUGUUGGCACCAUACAGUGUCUGCGUAUGAAAAUUAAUAUUAUAGUACAUCUUCAUGCCAAUAUACACACAAAACCAUGUUGACAGUAAUACCGAACAAAAUGAUUUCAAAUUGCAAUUUAAAUGGUAUGGGCUUUUAACGUUAAUAUUCCUUGGAGUGUAAUAUUUUUAUCCCUAUAAUAAAUUUUCCUUUUAUUUUCCUGUUUGUGUCUCCUUUUCCUUUCUCUUGUCUGGUUGCGAAAACAACAUUGUAAUUAGAUAAUUAUGUUUGCUUUUCGAAUAUUAUGUGUUUAAUGUACAAAGAUUACACAUGUAUACACCUGUCUGCAACCUGAUGUAUAUCAGUUUUGCAGAUCCUGUUUCCUAUAAAUUAAGAACUUUGACACUUGUUCUAAUAACUAUGUUCUAAAUUGAUGGUUGAUAUUGAUACAUUACAUUGAUAUUAGUCAAGGAGCUGUGAAUGAAUUGGAAUAUAAAUUCAUGCCAUCUUUCAAAUGUUGUGUACCGUACAGAGAAAUAACCCACACUGAUAGCUGAAGUGCCCCAUGGUACUGAGGUCUUUGCAAUGAUGAUGAAUAUGAAUGGGCAAUUGCGCCAUUUAUUUUUAGCAUCACUUUUUUAAAGUGCCUAGAGCAAGUACAAAGUGUGAGAUGUAUUUUUCAUUAAUACAUCCUUAGUGUAUUACAGGUGCUAUUACAAGUAACAUGAUAUACUUCACCAUAUACUUACAAAAGUUUGAAAAACACGGAUUCUUGCAAGUGUUUAAUCUAAAAACACUUACAGGGAUAUUGACUCAAGUGAAUUUCAAAUUUAAGGUCAAUAUAGCCGAACUGGAAAAAUUCUCUAAACCAGGUAUGCUUUCAAUUUGGCUACUCUGGCCUUAAAUUUAAUAUUCUUUUGGAAUUCACUUUAUAUCCACACGUUAGUGAAUAACCCUGCUGGCUAAUUUGUUAUUUUUGUAUUUUCCAGCUAACCUCAGAUCACCACUACCAAAGUAUGCCAAUGCUUACAGCUGCAAAUUAGCCUGUUUCCACAUUUUAUUGAACUGAUUCGGAAUGUUAUCUGACACAGUAACACUAAAACACUUACACUGUUAAAGCUGCGUAGAGUAUCCAGUCUGUCUAAAAAAAAAAAAAAUUAAAAAAAAUACAAUUGUCUAUUUGAAGUUAAAUUUAUAUUUACUAUUUUUUGGUUCUC